rnacentral:rRNA from 1 species
AGAGUUUGAUCCUGGCUCAGAUUGAACGCUGGCGGCAUGCCUUACACAUGCAAGUCGAACGGCAGCACGGACUUCGGUCUGGUGGCGAGUGGCGAACGGGUGAGUAAAGCAUCGGAACGUGCCCGAUCGUGGGGGAUAACGCAGCGAAAGCUGCGCUAAUACCGCAUAAGAUCUACGGAUGAAAGCGGGGGACUCGCAAGAGCCUCGCGCGAACGGAGCGGCCGAUGUCAGAUUAGGUAGUUGGUGGGGUAAAGGCCCACCAAGCCGACGAUCUGUAGCUGGUCUGAGAGGACGACCAGCCACACUGGGACUGAGACACGGCCCAGACUCCUACGGGAGGCAGCAGUGGGGAAUUUUGGACAAUGGGCGCAAGCCUGAUCCAGCCAUGCCGCGUGCAGGAAGAAGGCCUUCGGGUUGUAAACUGCUUUUGUACGGAGCGAAAAGGCCCCUACUAACACUGGGGGUCCAUGACGGUACCGUAAGAAUAAGCACCGGCUAACUACGUGCCAGCAGCCGCGGUAAUA